rnacentral:rRNA from 1 species
GUCCUGGCCCUAACGAUGGGUACCAGAUUGUAGACUAGACAUGGGUUUACAGUCGAGGCAAAGUGUUAAGUACCCCGCCUGGGGAGUAUGGUCGCAAGGCUGAAACUCAAAGGAAUUGACGGGGCUCACACAAGCGGUGGAGCAUGUGGCUUAAUUCGAGGCUACGCGAAGAACCUUAUCCUGGACUUGACAUGUGCGAAAGCGCUGGGAAGUAGAAAGCGGAAACGCCGACGAACGGUAUCCAGUCCGGAACCCAGUACAGGUGCUGCAUGGCUGUCGU